rnacentral:tRNA from 6 species
GCACCCGUAGCUCAGCGGUUAGAGCGCUUGGUUUACAUCCAAGAAGUCGUCCGUCCGAAUCGGACCGGGUGCA